UACGUAGGGGCCGAGCGUUGUCCGGAGUUAUUGGGCGUAAAGCGCGCGCAGGCGGCCUCGCGCGCCCGACGUGAAAGCCCCCGGCUUAACCGGGGAGGGUCGUUGGGGACGGCGGGGCUUGAGGGCGGGAGAGGGCGGUGGAAUUCCCGGUGUAGUGGUGAAAUUCGUAGAUAUGGGGAGGAACACCGGUGGCGAAGGCGGCCACCUGGACGGUAACUGACGCUGAGACGCGAAAGCGUGGGGAGCAAACAGG
rnacentral:rRNA from 1 species